rnacentral:rRNA from 1 species
UGAGUAGCACGUAUCCAACCUGCCGUCUACUCUUGGACAGCCUUCUGAAAGGAAGAUUAAUACAAGAUGGCAUCAUGAGUCCGCAUGUUCACAUGAUUAAAGGUAUUCCGGUAGACGAUGGGGAUGCGUUCCAUUAGAUAGUAGGCGGGGUAACGGCCCACCUAGUCUUCGAUGGAUAGGGGUUCUGAGAGGAAGGUCCCCCACAUUGGAACUGAGACACGGUCCAA